rnacentral:rRNA from 1 species
ACUUCUUUAUCACCGAGUGCUUGCACUCACCGAUAAAGAGUUGAGUGGCGAACGGGUGAGUAACACGUGGGCAACCUGCCCAAAAGAGGGGGAUAACACUUGGAAACAGGUGCUAAUACCGCAUAACCAUAGUUACCGCAUGGUAACUAUGUAAAAGGUGGCUAUGCUACCGCUUUUGGAUGGGCCCGCGACGCAUUAGCUAGUUGGUGGGGUAAAGGCUUACCAAGGCAAUGAUGCGUAGCCGAACUGAGAGGUUGAUCGGCCACAUUGGGACUGAGACACGGCCCAAACUCCUACGGGAGGCAGCAGUAGGGAAUCUUCCACAAUGGGCGAAAGCCUGAUGGAGCAACGCCGCGUGGGUGAAGAAGGUCUUCGGAUCGUAAAACCCUGUUGUUAGAGAAGAAAGUGCGUGAGAGUAACUGUUCACGUUUCGACGGUAUCUAACCAGAAAGCCACGGCUAACAACGUGCCAGCAGCCGCGGUAAUACGUAGGUGGCAAGCGUUAUCCGGAUUUAUUGGGCGUAAAGAGAACGCAGGCGGUCUUUUAAGUCUGAUGUGAAAGCCUUCGGCUUAACCGGAGUAGUGCAUUGGAAACUGGGAGACUUGAGUGCAGAAGAGGAGAGUGGAACUCCAUGUGUAGCGGUGAAAUGCGUAGAUAUAUGGAAGAACACCAGUGGCGAAAGCGGCUCUCUGGUCUGUAACUGACGCUGAGGUUCGAAAGCGUGGGUAGCAAACAGGAUUAGAUACCCUGGUAGUCCACGCCGUAAACGAUGAAUGCUAAGUGUUGGA